rnacentral:rRNA from 1 species
UACGUAGGUGGCGAGCGUUGUCCGGAUUUACUGGGCGUAAAGAGCGCGCAGGCGGUCGUACAAGUCGCGUGUGAAAGCCCCCGGCUCAACUGGGGAGGGUCACGCGAUACUGAUCGACUCGAAGGCAGGAGAGGGUAGUGGAAUUCCCGGUGUAGCGGUGAAAUGCGUAGAUAUCGUAAGGAAGACCAGUGGCGAAGGCGGGUCUCUGGACAGUUCCUGACGCUGAGGCACGAAGGUCAGGGGAGCAAACGGG